UACAGAGGUCUCGAGCGUUAGGCGGAAUCACUGGGCUUAAAGCGUGUGUAGGCGGAUCGGUAAGUACCUUGUGAAAUCCCACAGCUUAUCUGUGGAACUGCUUGGUAUACUGCCAGUCUUGAGCCAGCUAGGGGCUACCGGAACAAAUGGUGGAGCGGUGAAAUGCGUAGAUAUCAUUUGGAACGCCAAUGGUGAAAACAGGUAGCUGGGGCUGUGCUGACGCUGAGACACGAAAGCCAGGGGAGCAAACGGG
rnacentral:rRNA from 1 species